AAGAUAGAGAGCAGAGAGACAUCUUUCUGGAUUUGCAGCUUUAGAACAGAGUUUUAUAGAAGGCAAAGUGAAACACGGGAGGACCGCUAAAUCACAGUCAGUUCACUGCUCACGUCCAGUGUUUGCUAACGUGUGCAUUGUGUCGCCAUGGUAACUGCUGCAAGUAUGUGGAAUGUUCAGGACACCCCCAACGUGAUGACACUGCAAAGUAUCGAUACUCAUUUACCAGAAUACAAUCCGGCCUGUUUAGCACCCUUCACAAAGAUAGGGUGAGGGUGAGGGUGAUGUCAACGCCAAAUAAACUUAAUUAGACUUGUGAGUGCCGUCUCCACUGCUCCAGAAGGUUUAUUUACACAUGUAUUUAAAC